AGAGUUUGAUCCUGGCUCAGGACGAACGCUGGCGGCACGCUUAACACAUGCAAGUCGAACGAGAGAAGAGAAGCUUGCUUUUCUGAUCUAGUGGCGGACGGGUGAGUAACACGUGAGCAAUCUGCCUUUCAGAGGGGGAUACCGAUUGGAAACGAUCGUUAAUACCGCAUAAUAUAAUUGAACCGCAUGAUUUGAUUAUCAAAGAUUUAUCGCUGAAAGAUGAGCUCGCGUCUGAUUAGCUAGUUGGUAAGGUAACGGCUUACCAAGGCGACGAUCAGUAGCCGGACUGAGAGGUUGAUCGGCCACAUUGGGACUGAGACACGGCCCAGACUCCUACGGGAGGCAGCAGUGGGGAAUAUUGCACAAUGGGGGAAACCCUGAUGCAGCGACGCCGCGUGGAGGAAGAAGGUCUUCGGAUUGUAAACUCCUGUUGUUGAGGAAGAUAAUGACGGUACUCAACAAGGAAGUGACGGCUAACUACGUGCCAGCAGCCGCGGUAAAACGUAGGUCACAAGCGUUGUCCGGAAUUACUGGGUGUAAAGGGAGCGCAGGCGGGAAGACAAGUUGGAAGUGAAAUCUAUGGGCUCAACCCAUAAACUGCUUUCAAAACUGUUUUUCUUGAGUAGUGCAGAGGUAGGCGGAAUUCCCGGUGUAGCGGUGGAAUGCGUAGAUAUCGGGAGGAACACCAGUGGCGAAGGCGGCCUACUGGGCACCAACUGACGCUGAGGCUCGAAAGUGUGGGUAGCAAACAGGAUUAGAUACCCUGGUAGUCCACACCGUAAACGAUGAUUACUAGGUGUUGGAGGAUUGACCCCUUCAGUGCCGCAGUUAACACAAUAAGUAAUCCACCUGGGGAGUACGACCGCAAGGUUGAAACUCAAAGGAAUUGACGGGGGCCCGCACAAGCAGUGGAGUAUGUGGUUUAAUUCGACGCAACGCGAAGAACCUUACCAAGUCUUGACAUCCCUUGACGAACAUAGAAAUAUGUUUUCUCUUCGGAGCAAGGAGACAGGUGGUGCAUGGUUGUCGUCAGCUCGUGUCGUGAGAUGUUGGGUUAAGUCCCGCAACGAGCGCAACCCUUACUGUCAGUUACUACGCAAGAGGACUCUGGCAGGACUGCCGUUGACAAAACGGAGGAAGGUGGGGAUGACGUCAAAUCAUCAUGCCCUUUAUGACUUGGGCUACACACGUACUACAAUGGCGGUAAACAAAGAGAAGCAAGACCGCGAGGUGGAGCAAAACUCAGAAACAACGUCCCAGUUCGGACUGCAGGCUGCAACUCGCCUGCACGAAGUCGGAAUUGCUAGUAAUCGUGGAUCAGCAUGCCACGGUGAAUACGUUCCCGGGCCUUGCACUCACCGCCCGUCA
rnacentral:rRNA from 1 species